CAGAGUCGGUGGCCGUCUCGCACUCCAAGCUCCGAUUCGUUCUUCCAGGCUCUGAUUUGGUGUGUUGGUGGUGGUUGUCUCGCACUCAACAUCAUUGUUCCUCUUCCAGGCUCUGAUUUGGUGUUGGUGGUGGCCCUCUCGCACUCAACAUCAUUGUUUGGACGCCAGUGUUAAGUUUCUCAUUGUGUUUGUGACCUGUGUUCGUGACACUCUCUAUUGUGGUUCAGGUUAGCGAUGUAGGCUCCCCGAAUGAAGUAAGGCGAUCUUCAUCCGCCAGUCAUCAACCUGUAAACAAUGGACCAUCUACUUAGUUUUAUGUAAGGUGAACAUGUUCUAAUGGGAGGGAGCAGCUUGUGUUUU